CGUGACGUUUAAUCUGCACUAGAGACAAAAAGACCCAGAGAGUAGGAGCACUGGGGGCGACUAGCGGUGGCUUUUUAACAUUGUACCCUGCAAGAGAACAAGAAACGCCACUCGCACACACCGCACUCACACACAGACACACACACACACACAAACUAAAGCACAUGCACGGAUCGGGAGCAGCUCCGGGCUUUGUGCGCUGCUGCUUUCUCGGUUUAUAGGUACACUUCUGCUUCUGGAAUGGAGGGGAGCACACCUCACCGGCACCCAGAGCACAAACUGUCAGCAUCCCAUCUGCUGAGGAUGCCGCUAAGGUGCCACCUGGACAUCCGAGUAAUUCUGGGGUUGUCACUGU
rnacentral:lncRNA from 1 species